CUUAUUUAUUUUGCUAAGAGGCUAUAUUUACAUGUUUUUAAUUUUUUACUACUGCCAACAUUAAUUUAUCUUCAUUGAAUUAAAUAUAUAAAAUAAUUUUUAUUGUGUUACUGGCAUCUCUUCAUCUUCCAAAUACACAAGCUCGGGUUUCUCAAAUCAUUGUGCCCUAGAUCCAUGGCUUCUCUGCGCAAGCUCUGAGAUGCGGUGAUGCCCUUUUUGUCAUUCAUUCAGUUUGGAUGCUGGGAAAGCUUCAUAAGGUCUGUGUUUAACAUAUUUGCGGUGAAAAUCAGCUUUUACAAGGUU